rnacentral:rRNA from 1 species
GAGUUUGAUCGUGGCUCAGAUUGAACGCUGGCGGCAUGCCUUACACAUGCAAGUCGAACGGCAGCACGGGAGCUUGCUCCUGGUGGCGAGUGGCGAACGGGUGAGUAAUGCAUCGGAACGUAUCCUGGAGUGGGGGACAACGUAGCGAAAGUUACGCUAAUACCGCAUAUUCUGUGAGCAGGAAAGCGGGGGACCUUCGGGCCUCGCGCUCUUGGAGCGGCCGAUGUCGGAUUAGCUAGUUGGUGAGGUAAAGGCUCACCAAGGCGACGAUCCGUAGCAGGUCUGAGAGGAUGAUCUGCCACACUGGAACUGAGACACGGUCCAGACUCCUACGGGAGGCAGCAGUGGGGAAUUUUGGACAAUGGGGGCAACCCUGAUCCAGCCAUGCCGCGUGAGUGAAGAAGGCCUCGGUUGUAA